rnacentral:rRNA from 1 species
UACGUAGGGGGCAAGCGUUGUCCGGAUUUAUUGGGCGUAAAGAGCGUGUAGGCGGCCAUGUAGGUCCGUUGUGAAAACUCGAGGCUCAACCUCGAGCUGUCGAUGGAAACCAUCUGGCUAGAGUCCGGAAGAGGAGAGUGGAAUUCCUGGUGUAGCGGUGAAAUGCGCAGAUAUCAGGAAGAACACCCGUGGCGAAGGCGGCUCUCUGGUACGUGACUGACGCUGAGACGCGAAAGCGUGGGGAGCGAACAGG